CUUGCGACCCGACUUGAAUGAAGCUCAUUUUUUUAGCGUGGGAAAUGCAAAGGCAAAAAAUAGCGGGAAUGGAAGGCGGAAAUAGUC
rnacentral:misc_RNA from 1 species